rnacentral:rRNA from 1 species
UACGUAGGUGGCAAGCGUUGUCCGGAUUUAUUGGGUUUAAAGGGUGCGUAGGCGGGCAGGUAAGUCAGAGGUGAAAUCUCCGAGCUUAACUCGGAAACUGCCUUUGAUACUAUCUGUCUUGAAUAUUGUGGAGGUAAGCGGAAUAUGUCAUGUAGCGGUGAAAUGCUUAGAUAUGACAUAGAACACCUAUUGCGAAGGCAGCUUACUACGCAUAUAUUGACGCUGAGGCACGAAAGCGUGGGGAUCAAACAGG